rnacentral:ncRNA from 1 species
GCUGUGGAGUGUCAAACAAAAGUACGGUAGCUUCGGCAAAGACGGACACGUUGAAGCAGUAA